CAUAUUUAUUUUACACCUUUUAAUUUUUCGAGUAUCAACUUAACUUGUCACAAUUUAAUUAAAAGUACUUUCCUAAGUUAUACUAUAUUUCUAUAGGUUACAAUUAAUCGAAUAUAAAUUCGUCUAAUAUGAAUUGCAGAUCCGCAGUUGCGAGUAUUUGUAACUUCGCCCUCCACAGCGAUAUGCAAUUUCCAAUGAAGACUCCGAACGGUCCGGGCUGUGCAGCCGGACAUCUGAAUUUAUUUCGUGUACAGCCAACCGGAUUUUAUAGUUAAUCCGCCUAUUUUUUUCCCCCCCGGAAUUCCAGGCAAACGGCGGGCCGCAAUCGUGCGCGGGCGUAACGGGUGUUUGGCUAUCACGCAUGCGGCAUUAUUGCGAUUUAAUGGUACCGUCGGCAAGCACGGUCGUUUAUUAUGCCGCACUACGUGUUGCUGCUUGCUGUGCCGUCGCCUAUCUCGUCGGUCGCGCCUGUAAAAGCAACGGGUUAUGGAGUAAUAACUCGACGCUAUAUGACGCCGCGCCGUCGUGCCUGCGACGUACCCCCGGUAAGCCAAACAACGCAGGCCGUCGCGACGCCUACGUUCGCACAAGCGUCGUAGUCGUCGUCACGGAAUGGGGGGGCUGCUCUUCGUCUCUCGCCGGCCUCUUCCCCGGCGCAUAAACGCCAGUCUAUCUGAUGUCCCUCGCGCGCCAUUUAACAUUUAAUGGACGGCACGCUGUCCGAAAAGUGCCGUUUAUCAUCCCGGCAGGCUGCAACGCCCGGAAGACAACGGCGCGGUAACUACUGAUCGGCGAUAUAACGGCGGCGAUUUUUCGCCCGCGAGAGAAAAAAAAAAAUAUAUAUAUACAUAUACGGCACGAUGACUUUUAGGGGCUUACAUUGUUGAAGGAUUCGAAAUUCACCUCGACAAGAAUGACAGUCUGAAUUUUUGUAACGAUCCGAGAGACCCCAUUCCGUUUAUGGAAACAUCGCUCAGCCGUGAAGUAUUCCGGAAUCAAAUGAAUAACAAGCUCCAAUUUGGAAGUUUAAUUUUACGCCGGGACCAGCGUUCCAGUUAAUACCAAUCAAUUUUUCCCCAUUACGGCAUUGUAAUUAUGUUAUCAGGAAUGCGCUAUUCCUAAUCAUCUAAGAUCACGAAAUCUCAGCUUGUCCCCCCCAAAAAACGGAAAUAGAUAGGUACUCCGGUGCAAAUUGUGUUUCGUCGGGAAGGGCUUAAUUAACUUUGCGAUGCUCAGCGAGUCGACAAAGCGUGAACGCGCGUGCACGCGGUACCAUAUACACCGCGAGUACAACAGUCGCCCGAUGGGCCACUCGAUGAGGGCGGGAUGACGGGUGGGCUGUAAUGCAGACCGCCGCUAUAUUUCGACGCUCCUCGUCCUUUCGCUCUCUCCGCACGAGCACCCUCGUUAAGCGUCUACGUGUUCGCGAUUCUCAAUCGGUUCCUGGUCCCCGGCAUACCGACAUUAUUUUUAGACGGUUGAUCGGUCACGGUUUCAUCCAUGGACUCCCCCUUUAAUCUUCUGAGGUUUUAUAUCCUCACGAGUUUUAAAGGGGCGCAAAGAGAAGAGAAAAAGCCGACGUCACACGACGUCACGUAAGAUUCAUUAUCUACAGUCACAAUCGUCCCGCUCCCCUGAUUUAUGUGCAAUCACAGAGGGACCUGUGUGGACCACCACCCUUGAUACAGAUUUUUUGACGUUCUUUCUCUCGGCGAAGAAUCAUUGCGUAAUGAAAAGAGAAAACGAUGGAUAUCGGAAAAUUCACGGCUCACCUCGUGCUCACCGCGCGCGUACACACACACACACACACACACACACACACAUUUGCAGACGCGCACACGUACACACGUACACAGGAUCACGUGUGCACAUCUAGCCGCGCUAUCGCAGUCUCCGUAGAUGUACGUGCCCACGACUGCCAAGAGUCACAAGAAGAGACCAACGAAAAGCGAGCGGCCGGGGCUAGGCAGCUAUGUACGUCACGUCUGGGUUCUGGAUUACAUUUAUAUCCCCAUGCCUCCCCCGUGCCCGGCUCCGAGCCCAGGGGGCCGAUGCGCCAAUACGUGCCUAUAAUCUUCCGCCUCAUACUCUUUCACUCACUCGCUCGAUCGGCGAAAGCCGCUCUCUUCAUCCACCCACCACGGACGUCCCUCACACACAGGUCGGGUCUGCCCGUCCGCCGUCUCACCUAAAUCGUCCAUGUGCAGGCCGUACACACACACGUGCGAAUCUUUACGCGUCCGUGUGCACGCGUUGCAUAAAAGACUACGGGAGGAGGAUAUAUAUGUAUAUACGUGUAUAUGUGAGCGAGUAGUCUCGGGCAAUUGCUGGCGAAUAGUAACUCACGCUUCGCGAUGGUGACUGCGUUGCCGGUAGUAGAUCUCCCAGCUAUUACACCUGCGGGACACUUUAUUUCUGAACGAUGUCUCUCUCGGCCAUGACUCGGAAAUUCUUAUCCGGCGAUUUCGCGGUACUUCGGUUCGGCGGCGACGGUUACGUCAGGUAACACGGGAAAUCGAAAAAGGAAACACGCCGAUAGACGCCGAUAUUGGCGGAGGCUCAACGAGGCUCAAGGUCGUUAAAUUGUUACGACGGGUGUUACGGGGGUUUGACGGAGAAAUCUGGCGUUUAUUCAGGGUCGUAUUGUUACGAUGGACCGAAUGCAAGGAGCUCGUUUGAAAAUAUACUGCUGUUCUUGUUGAGAAAUCAGGAAUACAUUUUAUAUUUAUCGCGGAAAGAAAAGUGAAGGAACUUGCAUUGAUCUUUUGCCAGGAACAUUUCUUGAAUUUUAAUUUUAAAACUCCGAGGUUAUAGCGAUAAUUAUGAUUGGUAAUAUAGCCAUUACAUAAUAUAAUAAAUUUACGCGAAAUUUACCGAUGUACAUUGAUUUGAUGGUUUUGCGUUCCGGGUGUCUCCAGCAGUAUUCGCUUUAAAUCGAACGGAAACGACUUGUUCUCCGUUACAAAAAAAUAUCAGGCGUUUUUAAGGUACAACUUUUUAUGAAGUGCUUUUUAUGAAGUGCAUAAAAGAGAUCGAAGGGCAUAAUGCGCGCUUCGGAUGGCGCCCGAACGUGAAAAUAUUCAGUAUCGAUAAGCCUCAGGGAGAAAAAGUGUUCUCCAGCUUCCUUUCCUGGAAGUCCAACUCGUAUUCGUCGCUUGCGUCCUCUCGCGCACUUUUUCACCCCCCCCCCCUCUUUAUCCCGUACAGGGGUGAUUUACGAGGGAGGCUUAACACAAACUGGUUUGUUUUUAUCAAUAGUUAAUUCGCAAUUUACAUCCGUUUAAAUAUUCAUACCGUCGUCGCCGCGAAAACCCGGAGCUUUCCCUCGCAUACUUAUUCGCGAAUCCUCGGCUCCCCCUUUCUCUCUAUCUCUCUCACGCUCUUUAAUCUCCGUUAUAUCCGUAUUCUUCUCUUUCGCCCCCCUCCCCCUCUCUUUCUAUCCCUCACUUUUUCUCACCUUCAAUGUUUCUACAGGGAGCGACAAAACUCAGCGGAAUAUACGUUCGAAUGCUUCUGCAAACCGAAACCUCCCACGCACUAAAUUCCAAAGCCGCUUUCUAGUUUCGUGACCUGUCCUUUUUCUCGCACACGAUGAUUUUGGAAACGAGCUUCCUGCUGUUCUCAAACUUUGUAUCAUUGAAACAUUGUGAUUGCGAUUACGCCGGUGUAUUGUGUACAUGGCGUUUAAAAAGAAAACAAAAGAUAUAUAUGUAGCGACGGCUACGAGUGAUAUUAUAAUGUAGAUCUAAUUAAUUAAGCUCGACGUUAGCGCGGUAAUUUAGAUUAAAUUUGCUUACCAUAUAUGCUAAACCUGGAUAGUACCUGGGUAAUUAUGCGAAUGUAUUUCAUAACGAGAACUGUAUGACAGAAAUAUUGCGUAAACAUUUUUAAUUUACAAUGAAUGAUAUAUGUAAAAUUAAUUAGAGUAACAGAAUUAAUUAGAAUAAAGGCCGUGAUGCUUUUAUCUCGAGUAAAAAUGAGGUCUAAACAUAUUUAACACAAAGGUUAUUUUAGGUCAUAAAUAUAAUUAUUAAAAUAUGAAGAAUAUGCGAACGUAACGUAUACUUACACGAGAGGCUUCAAUUCAUAGAUAAAUUUAAAAAGUGUACUUUAAGCCUUUCAGUCUGGCUGCUUAGAUUUGAUUUACAGUUGAUAGCGUUUUAAUGAAAUACAUAACACGUAAUAGAUGUCUGCAGGCACACGUACACGUUUUACAGCGUCCACGAGUACGGGGAUCAAACUUUGUAGAUGAACAUCGUAUAUAUCGUGCUGAAUAAUAAUUCGAGGAAAUAUCACAAAUCCGCAUCUCCUGACGGGGGGUUGAAAACAAUUCUCGUUCAACACAUUUGAUAAUUCACUUAUAUUAUUUAAUGAAAUGUUGACGUAAACGUCCGCGCGACUGGUCCGCGUCUAGCCCGACCGAAACUUUUCUCUCAACUUGAUAUUGCCGGCGCGUCCGAAAUAACGCGCAGUGUGUAACCAAAGUUAGCGAAACUAGCGUUGCUAGAGCUCUCUUUCUCUGUCUCUCUUUGGAAAUCGACAGACUCGAUGUCAAAUUUGCAAAAGUACCAUCCACGUCUCGGCUGAAACUUUGUUUUUAUUCCUUUCUCAGGACGGAAUAUAUGCGGCAUAUACCGGCGGGGCCGAGCUCUCUCGGUUUGCAUUCGCGGAACCAUCCUUUUUCUGAAACUUGUCAGUACGCACGCAUAUUUGCGUGUUUUAUUCAUGAAAUACGUGACUGUCUAUCGUAUCGGCGUGAUAAGAUCCGGAAAUUGCAUGUACGAUGUUCCGCCGCGUAAUCUUGUCGCCUUCGGAACGAGGCUCCCUGCAACGAAACGACGCAAACGCGCGACGUGUAGAAUUUAUCCGGCCUUGAUAUGACUGCUUCGCCACGACGACGGAAAGUUAGCUAUUUUCCGCCAGGUACUGAGAUCGAAGCUAUAUGAGAUAUCCCGGGUAUUUUCUCUCUCUCCCCUCGCGCUCUCCUCAAAUCUUUCCCAAAUAUAAAAUGGAAACAUCAAUAACUCAUGAAAGCGGUAAAAUUUUGAUAAUUUAAAAAUUAAUCGUUGAGUAAAUGUAACAUUAGUAUAAAUAAAAACAGCAAUUUUUAUUAUAUAUUUUUAUUAUGUUAUAAUACUAUUUAGAUAUUGAAAGAAAUUUAGUAUCGUAUAAAAUCGAUGCUCUGUAACAAAAAUGUUUAAACUCAUUUCUCGUUAUCUUACGUUUGGUUUAUAAAGAUAUCACAAAUGAUAUUAGAAAAAAAUAUAGUCUUAUUAGAAAAAACAUUACAUAAAUUGCAAAGAACAACUGUAAAACGUUACAGUUCAUUUGUAUUUAAUUUCAAUUUGUGACAGAAUCCCCAGAUUAUUUUGCUUGAGUAGCUUUGUGAUAAACCGUAAGAACGGUCGUAACAAGGAGUCUCGAUUAUUAUCGUUAUCACAAGAAAAUGCUCGAUAGUGCAGCACGUGCACUGUAAAUACCGGCUGGUACCAUUAUACGAUCGCUGCAGGUGCAAGUUAUUAUAAUUGCACGUCGAUUCAGUUAAAGCUUAUGAAGUUUGUGCUUUGUCAUCAAUGGUGACUUGGGGACUUCCUAUGAGAUAAUCGAGUUCAAUAAUUGAUUAGUUUACAAGAAUCAUCAAACACUCUCAACUGUAAGAGAUUUGAUUGUAAGAAAUCUUGUAUAUUUGAUUUCUUACUGCAGCCAAUUGUAGAUACCCACUUAUUUAUAUAUUUUUUCACAAAAUAUCCGUUUAUAAUCAAAUUGUAAUAAACUUAUCACAACAAUUAUGUAUUAAUUUUCGUGAAAGAGGAUUUAAGUAAUCAGUUUAUUAAAAAGCUUUUAUUGUGAUAAUUUUCUUCUUACGCGUCUUAACGUAACUUCAAAAUUUCUGUAAUCACAAUCAGCUUUUUCAUACAAUGCUGUGGUACAUAAUAAUUGGCAUCAAUCAACAACGCAUACUUGGACAACAUAUAUGUUUAUAUAUACGUGUAUACGUCGACGCGUGUCCGCGUGAACAAUGUCACGCUCUCGUGUCCUCGCCGCUAAUGACUCAUUAUCACGAGCAAUCGCCCCCUUAUACAACAGCGUCGCCGCCGCUCUCGUCUCCUAUCACGUUAAAGCGCCCUUGUCGAGCCUAUCUUUCGCCCUGCCUGCGCGUCCGCGUCCGCUGCAUACAUAUUCAAUCCGUCAUGCGAUCAAUUGUUAAUCAAUUAAUUAACAGCGCGAGCGGCGCUUUAAUGACAAUGCGCGAUACUGCCACGCCUCACGAGACUCAUUUAAGCACUCUGUUCAUUAUCCGCGCAACGUAAACGCGCGUAAUUCCCCGGUAACAAUGUUACAAUGGCAGAUAUUCGCGAUUUCUGCGAAUUUAGAUAUUAAUCCGGAAUAUCAGAAAAAUCGGGCUGAUUAACGAACUACGCGCUGAAAAUAAUUUACAAUCCGCAUGAAGAUUUUAUAACGAUUUGUGACGUGAUUAUCGUUACGCUUGAGAAUACCUUUCAUGUUUGGAAAUAUAUAACGGUCCUUGUCUUAUUUUGUGAACAAGCAUUGUUGUUCUUUCUUUUUCUUGUGAAUUUACUGUGUAAACUUGUAAACGGUCCACUGAUCGAUUUUCUCACAUCGGCGAAUAUUUUAACAUUAAUUUGCAUAUAAUAAUUUACAUCUCCCUCUCUCUCUCUCUUCCGUAUUUGCUUCCGUAUUCUUUGGCAUUCUGUAUAGUAUCGAAUUUAAGAAGAACCAUCACUCUCUCUAUCUCCCUUUAUUUCCAAAGGUCAAUCGAAUAAUCAACGGAAGGCAAGAAGCGUCCCAGGUCGUCUUCCCUGGCAAAACGCUUUUUCCCCUAAAAUACAGGAACCGGCGGCCAUGUACUCCGUGUACACGUAUAUACGGCGGCCGUGUAUCCCGGAAGGUUAAGCCGCGGAUAGAAACUCCGCGAUGGUCGUUUUUCCUCGCGACCUCGGAAAAACGCUCCCAGGGAAAAUAAGGCCGCGCGCGCGACGCCUAGGCGCCCGGAAACGGAUUAAAACGGGAGCCCCCGCUGUAAAACGCGUGCCUGUAAAACAUACCCCGGCCCCUCCCCGCUUCCUCGCCUUCUCGCUCCGUCAGCUCCCGCGUCCGCGUGUUGAUAUAUCUCGAGUUUGUAGCUUGCAACCGUACCGCUGCUAAAAAUCCCGUAUUCCUAGCUGUGUGUCGCGAGAGAACUAGCGGGGAGGUAAGAGGACGACCGGCUGCUGCUGCUGCUGCUACAGGGUCAGACGAAACACGACGGAGUGCGGAAGAGGUCAUCGCGCGCGCACCAUCUGCACCCUUCCCACGGUUUUAGCCCGUAGCGCCAGCUAGACCGACAAUAAGCUGAUAAUUGAGCUUUUGAAUAAUUCCAGCUAUUUAAUCCGGGGUUUAAUAAAGCUUCGCCCUUCUCCCCCUCCUCCUCACCUCCCUCCCCUCCCUCCGCCCGCCGCGCCUUCCCGCGAGCGGCGUUUCGCCGUUUCGAAGCACCCGUGAAUUUCAUUAGGGGCUCAUCAGCGAGGGCUUGCGACAUUAAUGCGAGCAAUUUCCGCGUCGCGGUCCUUUUUUUCGCUCACCGAAAAAGGCCGCGCGUAGGCAAGCGAUUCGAGGAGAGCCGAGUAAGGAAAAUGCUUUCCGCUUUAGCUGAAAAGAGUCGGGCGCGCCCCACGAAGCACACACGAAGUUUUGUUAGGGAAAUUUCGCGAGAGCGCAUUUUUGUACACGGUAAACAUUAAUGGGAGCUUACUGGUGCGUGUGAACACGAAAAAGUGUUUUGAAAUAAAUUAUAACAUUUGACGCUCUACCCUCCCUCCCCCUCUGUCGAUAUUAGUUACGAUCAAAUUUCGUACACGUUACGUUCGCCAAACGCCGCGUGAAACUUGCUGUUCUAUCACUUUUUCUCUGGCAUUCCGCAUGUCGCGUUUAACGUUUAUUAUAUCCGGGUCAUCGACUGGCCCGAUACCGCCGAUGGCGAUCCAUGCCGAGGACGGGUGUUUAGUAUCGCGGGGUUCUUUCAUCGGUAGAUUAGUUAAUUUCGGUACCGCUCUGCCGUGGUCCCCGGAUCCCCGAUGUAAUUAGCUGUACAAUAGGAAACAGCAGUUUCCUGUGCUCUCUAUCGCAUCGACGAUGUAACGUCUAAACCAAUCUCCGGCAGCAGACAAUUAUUACACCCGCAUUUCGUACGUAAUCCUGCCCCUCCACCUCCUCUCGCCUCCCCGGAGGGUGUGUUGCGGACAAAAGUAUUCCCCGGGGUUGAUGAGAACUGCAUUAGGCGAGUGCCAACCGCACGUACCUUCACAAACGGGUUCAGUUUCAAUGGUCAAACGCAUUCAUUUAACGAGUAUUCAUCGCACGAUGUUUCUUUUCGUUUGACACUUUUGCUCUGACACUUACGAAAUAAUUUUAUAGAUUACAGAUAUACACUAUUAAAUAUUUAUUAUGAGCUUACCCAUACAAAUUGAAUAUGCACAUAAUGAUCUUAAAUAAUAAAAGCUAUUUAUAAAAGUACAUUUUUAUAAGUAUACGUAUUUAAAAGUUCCAAGAAUAGUAGAUAGAUAGCAAAAAUGUAACAGAGGACUUUCUCCUGAACAUAUAAUUUUACAAAAUUAAUUUUUUGGCAUUAAAUAAAUAAGUGAUAUCUCAAAGAGUAUGUAUAACUUUCUCUCGUGUUCUUCUUUUAAUAAAAUAAUAAAAUAAAAAUAGCACUAUUUUAUUUUAUUAAGAAUUUAAAUCUUUUGCAAAGUAAUUUUUAAAUAUGUACAAACAUAUAAUACAAUAAUUUUAUCGGAUUAAAAUGGUACAAAUUACGAUGCAAGUAUUGGAAUAAAUCAUUAAUUAUUUAGAUUGUCGGAUACUGUUAUUAUCUCAAUAAUGAGUGACGAUAUCAUCUUACAUUUGCUAAUUAGACACUGCUAAUGUAAUCAACAAAAAUAUUUAAUUAAUCAGUUAAUCUGUAUAUUAUUGGAAUAUAAUCGCAGGUGAUUCUAAUAACAGGUAAUUUAAUAUUACCACAAAUCAGUAAUUAUCUAAACCGGGAACCCCGAUCGAAAUUAUGAAUAGGUAAAUAUUAUGAAUAGGCUAUUUGCAAAACACAUGGUUUAUUGCAGAAUUCUAUUAUUAUUAUUAACAUACAAGAAAGCAUUACUAUUUCAUUAUUCCACGGAAGAAUAAUUCAUAAAAAAUUAUAUUGAAAGGAAGAUUUUUCAAUCAUUUUAAUCGAUUUAAGAACAAACCUUAAUUAAAGUUUGACAUUAAAACAUGUUUUACAAAUCGAAAAUCAGAGUAAAAUUAGAAAAUAAGCGAACUAGUUAAGAGGAAGUAAACGCAUCUGGUUUUACAACAAAUUAUACAUAUCUUACCAGGGUAAUUCAACAGUAAUUCUAAUAACGUCGUUUACUUUCCAAUAUCAAUGUAUAUCACGAGAUUGAUCUCUCUAAGCCAAGACUGUCUUAAGCGAUGAACUCCAGCACACGCUUGCCAAACAUCCUGAAUCGGUAAUAGAAACCACUUCCUCGAGCAGCCGCGGUCAGUUUAUGUAGAGACUUCAUGCUUCCGUGGACAGAGCACAUACGCAUACAUUUUGACGCGUAUACAUACACGCUGGCACGCACAUGUAGGGCAUGCGCGCCCCAAUCUAACGUGAUCGCAUGCGGGGGGGUAGCACAAUCGGUUAACACAACGCCACCGUCCAAUACCGACAUAUAUAGGCAUCAAAGGGAAUUCCCACCUUGUGACACAUAGGGUCCUCCGCAGACUCCUUGACUAUUGGCAUAGUUAAAAUGUCAUCGUGGAUGCGGUUACCGGAGCGUCGCCGCAUGAGGGCUGCUUUUGAUCAUUCCGCUUAUUGUCGAUUUGUCGAAUUGGCACAGAUACACGGCGAUGCCGAAGUGAUCCCGCGGAUUAUUCAUCAGCAGACCGCGUUGCCUGUGAUAGGCUAAUGUUCAAGAUGAAAUUGACCCGACACACGCACGUUUCACUGAUGAUCGCAAUCUGAGAUCUUUUUCAUCCCUAAUCUACUGUGUAUACAAUGGAUGUAAUUGAUGCGUUGACAUUGACAAUUGAUGCUACGAUCGUUUUACAAUUUGGAUCAAGCAGAAUAACUGAGAUGAAGUCAAUGGAACGCCUCAACGAUUGCGCGACACGGUUACAUUUUUUUAAUGUUAAAACAACAACAAAUGCGCUAAAAGCAAAAAUAUCUCAGGCAUGUCUUUAGGGACAAAGAAAGGGAGGGAAGAGCUGGAGGGUCCUAUUCCCUCCUCCGCUGUCAGUCGUCGUCUUGGUAAGAGAUAUAAGAUUCAUGAGAUGCUCCGUGGCAAGAAUACAAUUUUUAUGAACUAAGAGAGCAAGAGAGCAAGAACUUGCAUUUAUAUCAACGUUCUCUUUUGUUUUCCUUUUUUUUGCCUCCGUAUCCGUCAAUCACGAAUAAUUGAUGAUAAAAAAGAAUGAAGCGGAGUACAGCAUAUUCGGAGUACAAUGCACGGAUGACGGUCUGUUAUAUAUAGAUAAAUCAUUUUUUAUUUAGUUAAAAUUCGGCUACGUCACAUUUGACACACAUAUGAAAAUAAUAUGUCAUAUAAAGUGUAAAAGAAAAAAAUGGAAAAUAUGAAGCAAGAACAAAAGGACAAAAGUAAAGAAUAAAUGUGCAAGAACAAAAAACAUUGUAGAUAAAAGAAGAUAUACUUCUUUAAGACAUCAUUCAUGAUUAAAGUAUUUAAAUGUUAAAAUAGAUAUUCUCUCUCUUCUUUUCUUUUUUAGCACAAAAAUUCUUUAAAAUCUUAUAUUUUAUGGAGUACGAUAAUUUAUUAGUCCUUUUAAUUUUAUAUUGAUAAUCUGUUACAAUUUCACACUUUUCUCUCUAUAAUUGAAGGGUUUAUUAAACAAUCAAUUAAACGCCAUUAUUUAUGAUUUAUUGCUUUUUGCUUUUAAUGACUUAUCCGUCAAAUCGACGUUUUAUAUCGCUGUUUUGCAUUAUUAUGAAUGAAUAAUCCAAAAGAAUCGUCUGUUUAAAUUAACUGUCAAAUAAAGCAACGAGUGAGGAAUUUAAGUAUCUGUAUAAAUACGGCGUCGCACGUAUAUAAUGUCAACGCCGUAUUUUAUUUUAUAAAUUCCUCUUCCUUUCUUCAGGCUGAGAUCAGAGGCUGAAACGUUACAUCCCUCCCGUACCAUUGUUGCAUCUGCGUCGUAAUAAAACGGCGGGGAUAGGAAGGCGUACGACACGGCGGUUGUCGCUUAUUCGAUAAUGCCACUGCAUCGUAUCAUCCUUUUAAUGUAGUGCUCGCGAUGGUAAAGUUUAUCCAACGGCAACGUGGAAAAUUACUAACUUCUUGCUUGCUCUGGUAAUUCUCGUCUCGCACUCCCUGUUUCGUUUCCUCGCGACGCUUCCCUUUCUCUUCCUUUUAUCAUGGUGCCGUAUCCUCGCCGCCGAAUGCGAGCGACUUAGAAGAUCCCGCGUAACUUUGCGACGGUCGUGGAACAUUAAGCUCGCCCUACGCCAUGCGCACACAUGCGCGCGUUAGUGCGAGAGCGCAUUUAGUUUAUUGGCAUGCAUUUUAAUGUGUACCCCAGCGUACACGCGCGUUUCACGCUCAGUGCCAAUGUCUGUAUAUGUAUUUUAACAUCUCCCUCUUUUCCGUUUCAUCCUCCUCUUCCCCCGCCUCUUCCUCCUCUCCCUCUCUUUCUGUCGGCUGAUCGACGCCGAUACAUCCUUUAUGACUACCGGGCCAUGAUUAUUUCAGCCGUUUAAUUGAUAUAAACACCGAGCCGAUAAUUAUUAAUUUCAUGAAAUAUUACCACUAUGUGUCCGCUUUAAAUGUUCAGCCAUCCGCGAAUAGAUAAUCGUUACAGCACAGGGCGCUGCAAUUACGUUACAAAGACAGCUCCGAAUUGCUAUGAUGCCGAUUACAAGAAAACUGACCGUUCAUUGACGAAUAAAUUGAGACUGUUUGUGUGAAAAAGUCAGCCAAACGGUGUAUUUUUAUUUGACCUCUGUUGUCAGCGUAACACUUUGUAGCUACAAAUGCAAUUAUGAUAUCACAUUAUAAAUUCGUUAUUUUUCUUUUAUAUAUGUAAACAUGUGUGUUACACACGUGCAAGGAAAAAAAAUUCCGUUUUUGUUUGUCGAAUCAAGUGUUGUACACGUGGACAAAAAUAUAGCCUUUUGAUUAAAAACAAGUAAGAAGUAAAUUAUAUAAAAAGACGUUAUAUAAACAUUCCCUUGUUGUCGGCAUAUAAUUGAUAUUUUAUAUUACAUUUUACUUUAACUUGUCGAUCGAAUUUCAAUUUGAUUAGAUAUUCCGGUAUCUCGGCAGGGAUAUAUUCGCGCGGUCGUUUGAUAUUCAAUGCCAUCGAGUCUAAACGCGUAUCGACGCUUAACGACAUAAUUCACGCGGUCCCUCGACGUCCCGAAAUGUAGCCCGAUUUAUUCCGAUCGCGCGGUUUAUCAUGCGAUGUAUUGCAUUCGGUCCACCAUGUCUCUGACGCUCAUGUUAUUGCUAACGCGCCAUUUGAGAUGAGACCAUUUCGCGAGAACGUGCCAUUUACAGCCACCGAUGUGGCUGUGUGUCACACGACGCCGGCGAAAUAGAUAUAAAUAGUGGCGGCAACGCCGACGACGACGGUGGUGCUCGGGGGAGGACGCGGCGCUGUCUCUCAAAAACGUCUCGAACAGUGUGCGUGACGGCGUGACGAUGGGACAGGACGAAGAAGACGACGCCGUCGUCCAGGACGCGCCGACACGCAUUUUGCAUUUCUCCCUUAUGAAUAUGUUAUCAGGACGUCUCCUGAUGGGUUUCGCUCCGCGCCGGUCACGCGCGGACAAAUUUACUGUCAAUAUUUGCUCGCCCCCCGCCGUCCGAGUGGGGCUACCGGGGUUGAAAUCUCGCGUCGCGCGAAACGCACGUAUAUCCCGACGCGAUCACCGCGAUGAGCCUCGCGGGAUGCGUCGCACACACGCCCUGGCCACGUCAUCAGACAACUCGCAUGCGUGUCUCCCGCUCGCGAUUUUUGUUACUCCGCGACUCUGGGAGGGAGACGGGGCUAAUGUCCGAAAUAUUUCGCGCGGAAAAAGAAUUAGUCUUACUUAAGUCUGCGAUCGUUGUCUCGUAUACAAGUAAGAAUGUAAAACAUUCUUUAAAGAAUUUGAUAAUUUUGAACAUAACUUGCUCAGAUGAAAAAAAUUUGUAUAGUUUUAUUGAGAAGAAUAUAUUCACAUCUUUACUCAGAAAUAAUUUUCAUGAGUAGAGAAGAGGAAAUAUCGGAUAGGAAACAACAAUUUUUUCAAAUCAGAAGUUAGAAUUUUUUAAUAACUAUUGUUAUUAAAAUAACAAUAUUAUGUUGCUUAGAUGACUAUUAUGAUAUUGAAAUAAAAAUAUAGUUUUUUUAUUUUAAAAAAUGAUCAAAACUUUUAAAGAAGAUGUACUCUUGCUUAUACACGAGACAAUGAUUAUUGAACUUCUAAUUUUGUUUUACAUGUGCUUGAUGCAUUUAACCAUUAAAAAUAAAGCAUCGCAAGUACGUAUCCGCGCAUUUGCGAUACUUUCGACGCAAGAGAAUAUUAAACUGCGCGUGGGGCGUAUUAAAUUUUAACGCAUUCUCAGCAUCGCGGGGUUGAGAUUUCGUGUAUUGUGUAUAUUUCACAGCUUAGCAAAUGCUCCCCGUCUAUGAUGCCUCGGUACACUCAGAAAGCUCCACGAAAUCCGUACUCUUACCGUACACCCGGACACACAUUAUAUAUAUAUAUAUAUUUAUAUAAAAUAUGUAUAUAUGAGUGUGUAAAGCAGUUACAAGUCAAAUAUAUUUAUACAUCUCUCGCACGCGCGUAAAGUAGCGCGAGUCGCGGUUAAAGCGACGUGUUUGGCGGUAGAAAUACCGUAGAACUGCACUUGACACCUGUGCCCCGAAUUCGAGAUUUUCCUCGCCCCUCCCACGGCAGGCGGCCACCCUUCUCUCCCGGUCCCACUUCGCCAUCUCCGCUCCCGCUGCGCGACCCUCUUGUCAACCCCACGCAGCCGGGCGGAACGCCCGACAUUCGCCCCAUUCGCCACUUUGAUUCCUGCAACUGGCCCUCUGCAAAAUUACCUACCUACAGCGGACUCGCGUUGAGGUUUUGCGGUACGGCCGGCCGCGUGGUAUAUAUCAACGUUACUGCUAGAACGGUUUGCAGUGUGUUCGCGUGCGCGCGCGCGCGCGCGCGUGCGGCCGACUCGGCCCAAUUUUACAUGCAAUUUCGCGGCGGCGGGUUCCGCCGGGAGGACGCCGAGGUUUUUAAUUAUAUCUACCCGGUCGAGCCGCUCGGCGGGAUAUUAACCGGAAAUCACUCCGGCCACUGCAGCGACGGCCCGCUGCUAUCGACAUUGUGUAUACCGGCGUGUCUCCGAUCUCCGGCAGGCUGCAGGGAAUGGGCGCAGGGACAAGGGUUUGCGGGACAAAAAUGGAACUAUCCGGGCAAUCAUUACGAAUUGUUACGAAUUGUCGCGUCCGAUUCCACGGAUAAUCCAGACGAUCGGGAUAUUUUGAUGCGAGAGCGUUAAUCGUUAUUGGAGUUUUAAACUUUUAUACUCGCGAAACACGAGAGUCGUGCGUUUUUGAAAAAAAAAAGGGGCGAUAGAAAGAUUAUCACGAGGGAAGGGGAAGGGAAGCGUAAAGUACACACUCUCUUCAUUCUUUCCGUAUCGGUGAAUCAACACUGUUUGUCCAUUUAGUUAAUAUUUUUUGUUAUUAUUUUAGGAACAUGUAUCUCUUCUCUCACAUUUGUUGUAUUGAUUCCAUCAAUUUUGUUUUUAUUUAUUUAUUUAUUUUUCGUUGCUGCUUAUACACGUUGAUAAAGUAUAAAAUGAAUAAUACUGUAUUAAUAAUUGUUUAUAUUUAACAGGAAGCCGUGUUUGCACGUUGCGUAGUGUCCGGGUGUACUUUAUUUCGCGUGUACUCGCGCGCGAGUGACCGUUUUGCAAGAGUUACGUUUCUCUCAGUGUUACGAUUUAUCAUUGCGCGUCCGCCUGCUGCACACACUCCCGCGAAUGUCAUUAAGCGCGAAUGAUAUCGAGACCUCAGCGUGGCUAUCGUUGCCGAACGCGGGACGUUUCCAUUAGUUCUUCCAUUAAGUUUCGCAUCGCGAAAUGAAUGCGGGCGCGCGCUCUCAUCCCGAAAUCAUAUUUCUGCCAUUAACAUGGCCCAUUUUAAAGGAGACGCCGGUAAUAUGCGAAAACCCGCGCGGUUCCUCAGCGAACAAUAAUUUUCGCGAGACUCUUUUUCGGAUGGAAAUACGACGCGGGCUACUAGCUGCUGCUGCUGCUGCUGCGAACAGCGUUGACCGCUCGAAAGCAUGCAAGGAACAUUUAAUCUUUGAUGUCCAGCUGCUCUCGCCGCGAAGACGACGAAAAUUUAUAUCGCGAACCACAUAAAAAUUCUCGUCCUCGAAGAAAUUUUAUUAUCGGACAGCGCAACGCGGUACGUAAACAAUUAUACGCUAAAUACGCGCGCAGAAGUCUCUCGGAUAAUAUGAAGCGCGCGCGUGCGCGUGUGGAAUAGGAAGGGAGGGAAACGCGCUGUUAACCCCCGAUGAUUAAUAUCGGUGACAAAAAAUGCAUCCACUUGGACGAGGCGACAAGCGAGCACUCAAGCUGCCACUACUCGGCUUCAACGGUGUCAUAGAUCCCGACAGUGGCAUGUAUGUGGCUCGUCGAGAGAGAGAGAGAGAGAAAGAGAGAGGGAGAGAGAAAUAGAGAAACCUCCUCGAACGUCGCUGAUAUCGACAGAUAUCGACCGAAGUGCGCGAAGAAAAAAAUAUUUCCGACGUUUCGUGAACGCUUCUUCCACUUCACACACGCACCCGCAAACGUCCACUCGUCCCGAAGGGCUCGAGUUCACGUCCGAGCUUUUAUACACGUGCCACACGCGCGCGCGCGCGUCCACCGACGACCGUACGGCAACGACGGCACAUCAAAUGCAGCCGGGGAAGAAAUACGCCCCCGCGAAUGUGAUUUGUUGUCGCGUUCUCCACCGAGCGCAUCAUCUCUCGCGCGCAACGGCGUGGAAAGGAGUGGAUCGUUAAAGACGCUUCUGAAAAACGACGCGGGCGUAGAAAAAAGGGACAUUCUUGUUUCGAGGGAAUAUCUUUAUUUUCAAAAUGUCAAAUGUAUUAAAAUGAUAUUACGUGGCGCGCGUUAGACAGACGUAACUGGCUUACGUAAAGAAUUUUAUAUAGUUUGAUCACGAGGUAUAUUUUUUUUUUAUUCAAUGAUAAAUUUCAUAAGUUAAGAGGAAAAAAUAUCGAACGGAAAGUAACAAUAUCUUCGAGAUUUUAAAAUUUCUUGACGCUAUUAUUAACAAAGCUAAUAUUAUAAUAUUGAAAUAAAAAUAUAAUAUUUCACUGAAAUUUAAGACUUCUUUAUUGGUUUUAUAUUUUUGUCACAUGGAUGUAUACAAGACCACGAGUGUUAAAUAUAUUUUAAUUUAAUAACAUUUGAUUGACUGUUUUUCCUAUGUAAAUUUUCUUUUACCAAAUAUGUAGUCGUUAAAACACAGAAACCCCAUUUAAUUGUUUUAAUCCAAAAUACUGCACUAAGAACUCAAAUUGUUCUUACCGUAUUUAACCUCGUACAUUUAUAUUGUUCUCUCUGUACUUUUAAAUGGCGCGAUAUAAAAAUAUAUACACAUAUAGAAAUACAUAAAAAAAGUAAUAAAACGUAAAAAUAUAGAAAUGAUAAAAAGCAAUGAAGUACGCGCGCCCCCACCUGGUGUUGAUAUUGAAAACCAAAUAAUACAAUUUAUUUCGGCAGCUAUAGCCGCGCCGGAGAAGGGUGGCGUUAAGCGCAAUAUGCGCGCAAACCUCAUUCGACGCUCGCAAAGUUUCGUCCCAGAUUCAUGGCGUGCUGUACACGCGGCCAUGCGCGGCGCUCGUUAAAAGUACGAUUCGUUUCCAUUAAGUGCACCGGGGGAUGAUCACCCCGGGGGAAUCGCCCGCCUAGCUCCGUGUACGUAGCGAAUUAAGUCGUUAAUGUCAAACACCUUGGCCGGCGGUCGUCCGAAUUUUGGAAAUUACGAAGUUUAGUUACACACCGGGCGCCCGGGAGAAUGCGAAGAGCUGAUCCUCAGGAGCCUGCUUACGUAUUCCGCUGGUAAUUAGAUUUGACACCCGAAUUUGCGGACGCACGUUUACCGUCCUGCAGGCCACCGUGUGCAUUACUUCGGAUUGUCCUUGUGAAUGGCUGCGCGAAAUUGUUGCUUCCUGUGGACUCUACUACAGUAAGAGCUCGGGGGCGCGAGUAAAGCACGGCACCAGCGCUUUGUGUUUUCCCCUCUGUUCGACUAACCGGGGCUAUUUUAUAUUGAAAAUGCCUGAGAGAUGUUUCUUAGGUGCGGACAAUGCACUUACGUGAGCUUAUUCGCAAACGGUAUUUCGCUUUUCUUUAAAUCUCCAUUUCUGCAACCUGACGCAAGAAGUAAAAUAAAAUGUGGAUAACAGAUUACCUGAAUUGCUGUGUUUCAGCAUUCACUGGGCGUUACAAAUCUGUGAAAUUGUUGCAAUAAACAAUGCGGACGAGAGGAAUCUAAAUUCGUCUCGAAAUUUUUGUUUUAAAAAAAAGCAUCAGUUAUUUUGAAUCUAUACUAUUUAGUCAAAAAUAUAUGCUUUUCGUGAUCCUAAAGAAACAUAUAAAUAAAAAGCUAAUUUCACUGAUUAAUUAAUGCUACAUUAAUUAAUUAGCUACAGAGAUAAGAGUCUCUCAGUAGACUCUUGUGAUUGAAUUAUCUCAGUACAUUUUAUUUUCUUUUUACGGAUUUGAAUCUAUGUUUUAAAUAAAAAUUUCUCUAUAAAAAAUAUGAAAUUAAAUUUGACAGCGAUAUAGCUGCAUGUAAAUUGGUGGCAAAAAAUAUAAAGCUAAAAAUAUUCUGUGCGAGGCGGCAACUCUUGUUAUCAGCAGUUUAUUAUUAGUAGUUGUCAGUGUAUUUUUAAUUGCAUGACAUGGUUUUUAGUUACGUUUUUUUUUUUAGCGUCAGCCAUGCAGAUCGCGCAGUCGUAAAAUUGUUCGUGCGAGAAAUGUGUUGCCGCUAAAACAUUUCAACCACUUUAUCGUAAUAGGGGUCAAAGUGCAGCAAUGAUUAUCAUUAUUAUAGCUCAGUUAAUAUUUAACAAUAUAUAUUUUGAGAUUUACAAAAUUUAUUCUCAUCAAUUAUUUUUGCCGGGGUGAGAGAUAAUCUCCUAUCUAAUUUAUUUUCAUCAAUUAUUCCGAGCUUUACAAUAUUAUUUAUUAUCAAUUAUUUGAAAAUUUACAAUAUAUACAAGAUUCAAUUCAUAUUCACCAAUAUUUAGCAAUAUUUUAUCAAUUUCUCGUUCCACUUUUAUAGAGGAGGCAGAUAUUUCUGACUUUACAACGCGCACGUAAAAUUUAACGACGAUGUAACGAUAUAUCGCGAGAGAUGUACACCUACAAUGGCUACUGUGCAACGUGAAUAUAUUUUUAAACGUAUUUUUCAUGCGACCACUUUCGGUCCCGUCGAAAUUGGUAAUUCCUUUGAGCUACACUCUUGGAAGCGGAAGUGGAAGGAACUACCCGGAACAUUAUCAUUUAUAUGAAAUCCUUUGCGCGUCCUUAUGCAUAGUCAUUAUCCCGUCGCUUUUUACCGCUAUCCUUCCCAGGAGGAGCUUGCGGGAGCGACGAAAACAAGAGUAGUUCGAUACACGUACACGCGUCGAAAGGCGACAAUCUUAAUUAAAGGGCGCUGACUGGCCCCUGCAAUUUUAUUCGGCAUUAAUUUGAGCCAAGUUCAAUUACACGCGCUUUAAGGCGACCUGGCUUUCCGCAGUUUAACGCUCACGAGCAAAUUGAUUAAAAAGCUCGGCUCGAAAAUUGCGUGCCAAUUCACGCAAGGUCUAACUAAACCCUGGCAAAACAAUACGAAAUGGAUAAUUCUUAUGUCUGUUCUUUUAAUUAAAUCGCCCUUUUUGCAGGCGAUAGCUCGCGCCAAUUAUCCCCCAAAACUUUUACUGUGAUACUAUACGUGCAAAUGAAAAAAUAUCCCACGUAUAUAUCACGGAUACUUUAUUACACAAUAAUAACAGUUCGCACGGAUAAAAUCUGUUUACGGAGAAGAUCGUAUUUCGGAAUUAGAUCGGAAAAAUAUGUAAAUAAACUUGGAGUAUAUUUCUAAAUAUAUACAUUUCGCGUGCGUUUUUGUAAACAUGAAUAUUUACGAUGAAAUGUAAAGAUCCAAGGUGCGUGGAAAAGCGUUAAAAAUUUGUAAAAUUUAAUAUAACAUAAUUUAUAAUCUUUUACUUCGCACACAAAGAGGUAUUUUGAUGAUACGAAAUGUUAUCACGUUUUCUCGGAUGUUUAUCACUCCUAUCUCAAAUUAUCGCUAUGUAAACAGUUUUUUUCUGGCGGGGAACGCAACACGGAUACUCCCGUGAAGCAUAAAAUAUUCUCGAAACGCAUCAGAGGCGCAACGCUUUAUUGCAGCGUAACAGCCGGACGUACGGAUAAAACUUUUCGCGAGCUCUUCUUUAUUUAAGGCGACGGAAUAUACUUUCGCCGGAAGAAGCUUUAAUGCAACACGUCUCGCUGGUUUCGAUGACAUCGCUUUUCAUUUAACGAAAAUCACCGACGAGUGAGAAUCGUCGAUUUGACCACCGGUUGACUCGCCGUUCGUGUAAACCGACGAUGGUUCGGCGCACAAUGAAAAACUCGCCAUCGACCGUUCUCCCACGCACACCGCGCCAUCCACGCGAGACGCGAGAGGGUAAUCGAAGUGCCGUAAAAGCGAUUGGCAGCGAUGUCUGGCGCGGAAGAGGAGUGAGAGUGGCUUGAGAGCGGCGAAGAAAGCUCGGAGAGCAAGUGAAGAUAGAGGAGCGGAAGCUGGAGAACGGGGAGAAUAUUAUUCAGAUCCUUGGCGGAAGCCGCCGUUGGGAAUACCGGCAACCGUCUUCGAACCGACCAGCCUCUUUAAGGUUCCCUCGGCUCGUUUCGCGACGACUUCUCAAACCCGACCCGUUCUCUCGUACGCGACGAAAGCAAAGAAAAAAAAAGGGGGGGGGAAGCAACCUGCGGAGGAUCGGAGACGGGUAGGGUGGACCAGGAUAAGGUGCUGCAGAGACUUGCAGUGAUACAGAUAUAUAUGAACAGGAUCCGUCGCGAUUGAGGCGAGUCUUGCACGACGAGGGAGCGUUCGCUAAGGAGACAGUGGCUCCCAGUGGUACACAGGAAGGAUCCUUGAAUCCAUUACAGCGGAAGCGGAAGACGGUGUAUCCCGCGACGGUAGAUCCGCACCGCCGUGUAUCGCGUCAAAUGGAAUCGGACGGCUUGAGCUGGUUACCCCGUGUCGAGCGUCGCGGAGAGGAUUAUACGUCGACGGAGUCAAUAAUACGACACGGCGCUCUGCCUAUGUCCGAUGACAAAUUUAGAGCGUUUAUCAUGGCGUGUCGGCGCACGGCCGACAUCUAUCUCGAAUUCGUCGUAGAAUAUGAAAUCGAUCGGGCGAGAGUCGCACGUGUGAUUGGAAUGGCUUUCAAUCGUGUAUAAUUAAAAAUUGCGCGUUAUUUUAAGCUAUUAUCUUUAAUGCGAACAAAAAUGCACGGCAAUCUUGUAACUUACAAUUUCACUGCAAAGAAGAGAUAAUGCAUUAAAACCAUCAUGAUAUUUUGAAUGUAUUGUUUUUUCAUUUAUUUCCGUUGAAAUUUUUGUUAUCGUCAUAUAUAAUUUUUAUUAUUAUUAUAUAAUAAAUUAUUUGAAAUAAUAACUUACAAUUAUUUUACGACACUGUUUAUUGCACUUUGUUAGAAAUAUACAGCUUAAAGAUGUGUUUGUUAAAAAAAUCAAAAUGGGAUUCUUGCAAAACACGUAAAAAUAAAAUAAACAAGACAAAUGGAUUAACAAUGUAACGAAUUGUAAGAAAAAAAAAAAAAAACACUAAAACAAAUAUUAAUAGGAAAGUAGCAUUUAUAAAUAAAGCCCAUUUUGUUUGUGCGCAAUCACAUUUACGUGUUAUCAACAUUUAAGUACAUUUAUGAUAAUUUUUCCAUUUGAAUUAUGCACCCCGGUAGCGACAAUGUAAAUGAUAAGAAAUAUGAGAUGCACCAUAUUUAGCAUUAAUCUAUAUCUUGUAAUAAAAUAAUUAUACAUUAUUACAUUUGUUGCAAAACUUAUCGAAAAUAAAUGGACAUGCGCGCUUAUCAGACAUUCUAUUAAUAAAUAGUUUACAUGAAAAUCCAAGAUGCAGAGAUAAGCGAGAAGUGAAAGAAGCAACAACCGCUGCUAGAGACACAGAACUGAUAUGGACGUUACACGUAAAAUGCAGUUUGUGGUGCAAACUGGCGAUUUAUUAGCAGAGCAUUAAAUCGAGAGCGUACACCUAGUGCAUUUUCACCGUUCUCGUGCCCUUCUCUCUCUCUCUCUCUCUCUCUCUCUCUCUCUCUCUCUCUCUCUCUCUCUUUCUCUCUUCUCGUCUCGCCUAUGCACCCAUUUGUUUUUUAUUUUUACGUUUCAGUAUCACCCUCGCGAUCCGAUGCUCCUCCAACUAUUUUUAUUUGUUUCCCCGUUCAAAAAUUAUAUACGCGCCUGCAAAUGAAAUAUCAUAGCCGGUGCGCGCGGUGCGCACUCACAGAAAGUGCCUGUGACGGUUUGGCACGAGCAGUUUGCCGGCGUAAUUAGACUUUAUUGCACUCACGGUAAACUGAAUUAAUUGGAAACGCCUGCGCGCUUUACAGCGCGAUAUUCGUGAGAUAUCGUCGCGAUGAUUGGCUGAAUUAAAAGAUUGAAAAUCUCGCCAUGGCGAGAAAUACCUCACGCGAAGCAGAAAGAGAGAAAUAAAGAAGAGAGCGGCGUCGAGUCUUUUUAAAGGGUAUAUUUUAUAAUAGGAGAACCAAUAAAUGCUGGAUCCGACGGGAAUAUCGAUCAAGUAUUUAUUUGUAAUUAGGCGUGUAUUUUAUUUUGUGUGCGUGUGCGUGUGUGUGUGUGUGUGUGUGUGUGUGUGUGUACAUAUAUUUUUAAUUUUACAAAAUCAAUAUCAAUCAUAAAAAGUAUAUGUUUCUAUAGUAUAUGUUUAAGUUUUGCAGGGAUAUAAAUUAAUAAUACAUACACCAAUAUAUACUUCUCUCCUUUUAUUCGUACACUUGAGUUUAGAUAAUUUAUCACAAUAAGAGAAAUAUAUCAACCGUACGAUGUGACCUGGGUAAAAUGUAUCUUCCUGAACCGAAAGGGUGGUAAGAGGGAGAGCGAGAUUUUAGUAAGUAGUUGUAUAACUGGAUUUUAUUCUUAAUUGACAAUAUUCUUUCCAAGUGAUAAAUAAAAGUUUCUUCGCCGUUUUGGGUUUUUUACAAGUUAAAACACAAUCUAUACUUACAUAUUAAAUGUAGCAACAUUUAGAUUAACACUACGUAGCGAGUUAUGAUGCACAUUAAAAGCGAUUUGCAGCUCUCACAUUUCAUGUGCCUUGCUCGGUUAAUCCCGUCGAUAUAAAGGAGAGACUCUGCCGUGGUUGUAAUCGCAAUCGUAUUCGCCUUACAUCUUUCCUUCGCUCGCCGAAUAUCGAUCAGCAAACUUCAGCACUUUUUCCAAGGUCUUUGUGAUUGAAUCGCGUCGAAGUAAUUUUAACAUUUUCUUCUUAACUUUGUAGCGACAUAACUACAUAAAAAAAAAAA